GGGAUUUGGGGCAAUAGAGGGCUGUGAGGAGGUUCCGGGGGGACACGGUGCUAUAGGGAAACAUUCCUGUCCUUGUGGCCCCUUCAGCCAGUUCCCAGCUCCCCAGACUGAGAUGUAUGGCUGCAGCUCACCACACGGCUUCUUUGGGACGGCUCUUGGGGAGGUUUUGGAGGGGCUCCAGGGGCUGGGGAGAGCUGUGGGGAGGGAUAUAGGGGGCUGGGGGAGGAUAUAGGAGAAUGUGGUUGUACAGAUGUCUGUAAAAACAAAAGGAAAAGAAAGGAAAGAAGAUAACGAAAAAAAGCCAAGUAAAAAGUGAAGAAUAAGAGCUAAGAGAAGAAUGGCUGGCAAGAAAUACGGAGAGAGCAAUGCACAGCAUUGCGAAGGAAAGCCAGGCAAGAGUAGCAGCAAAAAGCAGGAGAAUCCAGACGAAUUCCGUGAAGAGCAGGAGAGGCAGGAGAAAUCAGCGGUGUUGUAGUUUAUGCAGUGGGAAAGCAGCCCUUGCCACUCUUUGGAGGAGAGAAGCUCUACGUUUGCCGUUUGGACCAUGUCUUUCCCCGACCUGCCAGCAGUCCUCGCAGGUCCUCUCGGUGAAGUACCAAAGCGGAGUCCUGUUGCUGAGCCUGGGCUGGAUGCCAGAGAUCUCUCCAGUAAGAAAACCCAGAUGUUCUUCCAUGCUGCCGCUGAGGAUUGUUUCACACGGCCCGGAGAGAGUAUGGGGAAAGCUGCUGAGCGCCAGCCAGCUGCCCACCUGGCAGCUCUGCAACUUGCAUAACUCUGCUACGCAGCUGCGUAGACGGCAGCAUGUGAUGGAAAGUUGUCCUCAGCCUUUGGGUGCAGAAGUGGCUGCAGGGAAGGCCGGGCAAAAAUCCUUGGCUGCCUGCCGUGCUGGAGCCCCACAGGCGUCCCAGGGGUGGCUGUUGUCUGUAUUGACUUCACCAAAAAGACCAUUCGGUUCAACCCUUUGUUUGUCUGCAAUGUAUUUUCGUGCUUUCUGAGACAGAAAGAGGCAUGGAGAAUUGGAGAAUAUCCGCAGAGGCUCUGCCAUGUCCUGAAGGAAAUGGUGGAGGAGAAGGCAGCACAAGGUGGGUGUCUUUGUGUCUGUUCACUGAAAGACUGGGGAAGUGGAGUUUCUAGAUAGAUACAUGGAUGGGAUGCAGGUGCUGGGAUGGUGCUGGGAUGUGCUGGGAUGGGGCUGGGAUGUGCUUGAAUGGUGCUGGAAUGUGCUGGGAUGGUGCAGGGAUGGUAUGGGAUGGUGUGAGAUGAUGUUGUGAUUUGAUGGGGUGGUGCUGGGAUGUCCUUGGAUGGUGCUGGUAUGGAGUAGGCAUGUGCUGCGAUGGUGCUGGGACGGGCUGGGUUGUGCUGGGCUGGUGCUGGGAUGGUGUGGAAUUGUUUGCUGGGCUGGACAUGCUGGGAUGUGCUGGGAUGGUGCAGGAAAGGUGUAGGAUGGUUCAGGGAUAUGCUGGGAUGUCCUGGGAUGGUUCUGGGAUGUCCUUGGAUGGUGCUGGUAUGGGGCUGAGAUGUGCUAGGAUGGUGUGGGAAUGUGUUGGGAUGGUUCUGGUUUGUGCUGGGAAGGUGUGGGAUGGUUCUGGGAUAUGCUGGGAUGUGCUGUGAUGGUGCUGGGAUGUCCUUGGAUGGUUCUGGUAUGGGGCUGGCAUGUGCUGGGAUGGUGCUGGGACGUACUGGGUUGUGCUGGGAUGGUGCUGGGAAGGUGUGGAAUUGUGUGGGACGUGCUGGGUUGUGCUGGGAUGGGGCUGGGAUAUUUUUGUAUAGUACUGGGAUGUGCUGGGAUGGUGUGGGCUGCAGCUGGUGUGGUGUUGGGUUGUGCUGUGGGAUGGUGCUGCGAAGUGGUGGAAUGUUCUGUGAUGCAGCUGCUGGGAUGAGAUGUGCUGGGAUGUUCUGUAAUGGUGUGGGAUGUGCUUGAAUGGUGCUUAGAUGGUGCUGGGAUGGGCUGGGACGUGCUGGGAUGUUACUGGGAUGUGGCUGGGAUGCGCUGUGAUGGUGCUUGGAUGUGGUGGGAUGGGUCUGGGAUGUGAUGGUCUAGGAUGGUGCUGGGAUGGUGCUGGGUUGUUCUGGCAUAUGCUGGGGUGUUCUGGGCUUGGGCUGGGCUGGUGCUGGGCUGGUGUGGGAUGAUGCUGGCAUGUGCUGGAAUGGUGCUGGGAUGUGCUGGGUUGUUCUGGGAUGGUGCUGGGAAGGUGUAGGAUGGUUCUGGGAUAUGUUGGGAUGCAGUGGGCUGGUGCUGGGAUGUCCUGUGAUGGUGCUGGUAUGGGACUGGGAUGUGCUGGGUUGUGCUGGGAUGGGGUGGGAUGUGCUGGGAUGUUAUGUAGUCGUGUGAGAUGUGCUUGAAUGCUGCUUAGAUAGUGCUGGGAUGGGGCUGGGAUGUGGCUGGGAUGUGCUGUGAUGGUGCUGGGAUGUGGUGGGAUGUGGUGGGAUGAGCUGGCAUGUGCUGUGAUGUGCUGUGAUGGUGCUGGGAUGGUUGUGCGAUGGGGCUGGGAUGUGCUGGGAUGUGCUUGAGUAAUGCUGGAAUGUGCUGUGAUGGAUCUGGGAUGGUGCUGGGAUGUUCUGUAGUUGUGUGGGAUGUGCUUGAAUGGUGCUUAGAUGGUGCUGGGAUUGGCUGGGACGUGUAGGAAUGUUGCUGGGAUGUGGCUGGGAUGUGCUGGGAUGGGGCUGAGAUGUUCUGGGAUGGGCUAGGAUAGUGCUGGGAUGGGGCUGGGAUGUGGUGGGAUGUGGUGGGGUGGUGCUGGGAUGUGCUGCUAAGUGUUGGGAUGUUCUGGGAUGCAGCGGCUGGGAUGAGAUGUGCUGGGAUGUGCUGGGAUCAUCCUUGGACUUGCUGGGGUGUUGUGGGAUGGUGCUGGGAUGUUGUGGGAUGUUGUGGGAUGUGCUUGAGUGGUGCUUAGAUGGUGCUGGGAUGCUGAGCGCCAGCCAGCUGCCCACCUGGCAGCUCUGCAACUUGCAUAACUCUGCUACACAGCUGCGUAGACGGCAGCGUGUGAUGGAAAGUUGUCCUCAGCCUUUGGGUGCAGAAGUGGCUGCAGGGAAGGCCGGGCAAAAAUCCUUGGCUGCCUGCCGUGCUGGAGCCCCACAGGCGU